rnacentral:misc_RNA from 1 species
GUAUUUUGAAUUAAGUAUUCAUAAUAUUUUUCAGACAAAUUAGUUAAAGAAUGAGUUGAUGUAUAAAAACCUCGCCAAGAUUGACGAGAUCUAACAUUGCACACAAGGUGGAUAUGGAUUUUUAAAAAGUGCCAUAAAACACUUUAUUAUGAAUGAUCCUUCCGCAGGUUCACCUACGGAAA